rnacentral:rRNA from 1 species
ACGGGGYGCAGCAGGCGCGACGUACAGCGCGCAGCGUGACGGGGGCAGUCCGAGUGAUUCUCUUAGGAGAGUCUUUUGCUUAGUUCGAAUAACUAGGCGAAUAAGUGGUGGGUAAAUCCUGUGCCAGCCGCCGCGGUAAUACAGGUAGCACGAGUGGUGUCCACGUAUAUUGAGUCUAAAGCGUCCGUAGCCGGAUUGGCAAAUCUUCUGUGAAAUCCUACAGCUUAACUGAAGGACUUGCAGGGGAGACUACCAGUCUAGGAAGUGGAGGAGGUACUGGGUACUACAGGGGGAACGGUAAAAUGUUGUAAUCCUUGUAGGACCACCAGUGGCGAAAGCGCAGUACCAAGACACGUUCGACGGUGAGGGACGAAGGCUAGGGGAGCAAACCGGAUUAGAUACCCGGGUAGUCCUAGCAGUAAAUUAUGUAAACUGGGCGUUGCACUUGCUUUGAGCGAGUGCAGUGUCCAAGGGAAGCCGAUUAGUUUACCACUUGGGGAGUACGGUCGCAAGACUAAAACUUAAAG